rnacentral:tRNA from 2 species
GCAAUUUUAGUUUAAUAAAAAUAAUAGUUUGUCUCACUGUUGAUGGCUUAGGCCAAGUUGCU